AACUCCUAACAACGGAUAUCUUGGUUCUCGCGAGGAUGAAGAACGCAGCGAAAUGCGAUACGUAGUGUGAAUCGCAGGGAUCAGUGAAUCAUCGAAUCUUUGAACGCAAGUUGCGCUCUCGUGGUUUAACCCCCCGGGAGCACGUUCGCUUGAGUGCCGCUU
rnacentral:rRNA from 1 species